AGUAGAAUUUCUCCAAAAAAAUUAAUUACCCAUGGUAUUAUCAUUAUCAAGAAAGGAAUAGAAUUCCAAAACCUAAAAACGAAGCAAAUUGAACAAAUUCCAAAGAAUGGUUGCUCGAAGACUCGCCGUUAGUCACAACGACUCCACAUUCGACGUCGAUUACGACACUGAUGAUGGCUUCGAAGUCCUCUUCUUCCACUUCCUCCUCUCAUUCUCACUUCAAUUCCAUCUUCCGUUUCAUUUGCAAACCUUUUUCUCUUAUCUAUUCGUUUUUCCAGGUCCUCAAGUACCAGCUCUUCUCUCUCACUUCUGUUCCUCCCGAUCAACAAAAGAUAUUGGGGAGAGAUGAUCAAAUUGUAUCCGACGAGUCUGAUCUCGCUUCAAUAUCGGAUAAGCUUCGGUUGGUGUCAAUUGAUGAAGUUGAGGAGGAAAUAGUAGCCGAGGAGAAAGAGAAGUUAGAAAAUUUGGCAAUGUCAGAUGAAGAGUUGGCUCGCCUUAUUCAGGCAGAAGAAGAAGCUCUUAUGAUGCAGCAUUUUGUUUCUAGAGAAAGUAAGGAGCAAGUUGAACAGCAGAUACAGCCAUAUGUAAAUAAAGUUCAAAUGUAUGAAGAUCCACAUCGGCAAGAGAUGGCUCGAAAGACUGUGCCUGUUGACAAGCUUGAGGAGAAAGCAUUGAUUUCUUUGGGAAGGGAGGGAAACUACAAACCAACAAAAGUUGAACAGGAUAAUGCUUUCCUAUUACAGCUGCUAUUCUGGUUUAAGCAGUCAUUUCGGUGGGUGAAUUCUCCUCCUUGUGAUAGCUGUGGUAAUGAUACCAGAAGUCAAGGCAUGGGGGUUGCAAAUUCUUCUGAAACACUUUAUGGUGCUUCUCGAGUUGAACUUCAUCGGUGCAAUUCAUGUUCAAAUAUCACCCGUUUCCCAAGAUACGACGACCCAUUGAAGCUUCUAGAGACGAGAAAGGGGCGGUGCGGGGAGUGGGCCAACUGCUUCACACUCUAUUGUAGGGCUUUUGGUUAUGAUUCUCGUUUGAUUUUGGACUUCACCGAUCAUGUCUGGACAGAGUGCUUUUCACCGUCUCUGGGAAGAUGGAUGCAUCUUGAUCCUUGUGAAGGAAUAUAUGACAAUCCUCUAUUAUAUGAGAAGGGAUGGAAAAAGAGUUUGAACUAUGUUUUUGCUAUUGCAAAAGAUGGCGUGCAUGAUGUCACUAAGCGUUACACCAGGAAGUGGCCUGAGGUUCUUUCUCGGCGAAACAUCAUCUCAGAGCCUUCUCUUGCAGCUGUUCUCUCUGAUAUAACUAGAGAACUUCGGAAAACAUUAUCUGCUGAAGUGAUUUCAGCACUGGAAGAACGGGACAGGAUCGAAAUGAAUGUCAUUGAGCAAGAAUUGCAUCGUAAAGAUGACUCUUCAGUCUCAUUACCUGGAAGAUUGAGCGGAGACAAGGAGUGGCGCAUAGCAAGAUCGGAAUUUGUCUCGGAUGAAAAGAACUCUCUAAGCUCUUCAUCUUGUCCAGUUCGCAAAUGCAUAGAUGAUCAUGUCACAAAUAUCUACAGUGCCUUUACCCCUGUUCUUUCAAAGUUAAUAGAGUACUCGCCAUCUAAAAAGGCAGCUGCUGAAAUUCUUGAGAUUUUCAGAAAGAUUUUAGUUGAUCUAAAGAAUUCACCUUUCAGAACCAGGAGAAUUUCUGUGAAAUCAGUUUCAAGUAGUUCUGGUGAUAUUUUCAGUAAGAUGUUGGCAUCUUUUGACCAGUUACUCAAUGCUCUUUCUUUGAAGGGUGAGUUAGGUGUUAAUGGGAGUAUUGAUAUAUGUUUAGCUUCUGAUCCUGUUAAAACUUCCGUUGCGCUGCCUGUCGUGUUCCAUGCACUGGAUGAUGUGAUUUACAAUAUCGGACAAUGUGCUAGACUAGACAGCAGGUCCCUCUCUUGGCCACUGCUUAAGUUGAACAGAUUAUGUUCUGGUCUAGUCCUUGCUAGUGGGGAGGAGCUUCCUUUUGGAAUUGCUACAUGUGCAUUUGAUGGAACACGGAUGUCAAAGUGGGAAGAACCAAAUGGUGCAGCAGGUAUGCUUAAGCAAAAAUGUAACUCUGGCAUAGCAUCAUUGUUUCUCAUAUAUGUCAGCUGCGUAAGCCGUAAGGAUGUUGGAUCAUAUAUCAAGUAGCUGAUAACCGGAUGGUUGAGCUUGUGGCAUAUGAGUUUAUGUCUGCUAAUGAUGCUCCAGAGAGAGAUCCAAAAGACUGGGUGCUAGAAGGAAGUGAAAAUGGAGGUUCCAGUUGGCAUCUCUUGGAUAAACGAACUUCCCAGAUGUUUGACAAACGUUUCCAAAGAAAAGCAUUUACAGUCAGUUCACCCGGCUAUUUGUCAAAUGCAUUCAGGUUUAGGUUUCUAGCAGUUCAAGGCAAGAAUGCAACUUCAAGGUUUCAGAUUGGCAGCAUUGACCUCUUUGCAGGUAGCAGUUAAUGUCCCUAAACCAUAUUAUAAACUUCCCCUUUCUCUGGCUUAGGCUUCAAAGCCAAGCUGUGAGUUAGAAGUUUCACCAGUUGACCUAUUUAUAUGUUGUAUUAUUUGUAUCUACACUUGUUGUAUGCACAUUCUUCGGGCAAUGUAAAAUUGUCAAACCUUUAACAUACUCGUUUUCU